rnacentral:rRNA from 1 species
UGAGUAACACGUAGACAACCUGCCCCCUGGCCCGGGACAACCUCUGGAAACGGAGGCUGAUACCGGACGGGCAGGAGAGGGGCAUCCCUCUCCUGUGAAAGGCCCUGCAAGGGGCCGCGAGGGGAUGGGUCUGCGGUGCAUUAGCUAGUUGGCGGGGCAGCGGCCCACCAAGGCGACGAUGCAUAGCCGGCCUGAGAGGGCGGACGGCCACAUUGGGACUGAGACACGGCCCAGACUCCUACGGGAGGCAGCAUG